rnacentral:rRNA from 1 species
AGACCGCCAGCUAAGGUCCCAAAUGCAUGGCUAAGUGGCAAACGAGGUGGGAAGGCAUAGACAGCUAGGAGGUUGGCUUAGAAGCAGCCAUCCUUUAAAGAAAGCGUAAUAGCUCACUAGUCGAGUCGUCCUGCGCGGAAGAUGUAACGGGGCUCAAGCCAUGAACCGAAGCUGCGGAUGUGUCUUUGACACGUGGUAGGGGGAGCGUUCCGUAAGCCUGCGAAGGUGUCUCGUAAGGGAUGCUGGAGGUAUCGGAAGUGCGAAUGCUGACAUGAGUAGCGAUAAAGGGUGUGAAAAGCACCCUCGCCGUAAGCCCAAGGUUUCCUGCGCAACGUUCAUCGGCGCAGGGUGAGUCGGCCCCUAAGGCGAGGCAGAAAUGCGUAGUCGAUGGGAAACAGGUCAAUAUUCCUGUACCGCUCUUAGAUGUCGUAUGGGGGGACGGAGAAGGUUAGC